rnacentral:rRNA from 1 species
UACGGGGGGGGCAAGCGUUGUUCGGAAUUACUGGGCGUAAAGGGCUCGUAGGUGGCCAACUAAGUCAGACGUGAAAUCCCUCGGCUUAACCGGGGAACUGCGUCUGAUACUGGAUGGCUUGAGUUUGGGAGAGGGAUGCGGAAUUCCAGGUGUAGCGGUGAAAUGCGUAGAUAUUCGCAAGAACACCAGUGGCGAAGGCGGCUCACUGGUCCGGUACUGACGCUGAGGUGCGAAAGCGUGGGGAGCAAACAGG